AUUGAACGCUGGCGGCAGGCCUAACACAUGCAAGUCGAGCGGAUGAAGGGAGCUUGCUCCUGGCUUCAGCGGCGGACGGGUGGGUCAUUCCUAGGAAUCUGCCUGGUCGUGGGGGAUAACGUCCGGAUACGGGCGCUAAUAUAGCAUCCGUCCUGAGGGAGAAAGUGGGGGAUCUUCGGACAUCACGCUAUCUGCUGCACCUCGGUGGGUUUCGCUAGUUGGUUGGGUAAAGGCUUACCAAGGCGACCAUCCGUAACUCGUCUGAGAGGAUGAUCAGUCACACUGGAACGGAGAAACGGUCCAGACUCCUACGGGAGGAACCAUAGGGGAAUAUUGGACAAGGGGGGAAAGCCUAACCCAGACAGGCCGCUGGUGGGAAGAAGUUCUUCGGAUGUUAAAGCACGUUAAGUGGGGAGGAAGGGCGUGAGGGUAAUACCUUGCUGUUGUGACGGUACCAACAGAAUAAGCACCGGCUAACUACGUG
rnacentral:rRNA from 1 species